UACGAAGGGGGCUAGCGUUGCUCGGAAUCACUGGGCGUAAAGCGCACGUAGGCGGACUCUUAAGUCAGAGGUGAAAUCCUGGAGCUCAACUCCAGAACUGCCUUUGAUACUGGGAGUCUCGAGUUCGGGAGAGGUGAGUGGAACUGCGAGUGUAGAGGUGAAAUUCGUAGAUAUUCGCAAGAACACCAGUGGCGAAGGCGGCUCACUGGCCCGAUACUGACGCUGAGGUGCGAAAGCGUGGGGGAGCAAACAGG
rnacentral:rRNA from 1 species